rnacentral:rRNA from 1 species
AGUGAACGCUGGCGGUAGGCCUAACACAUGCAAGUCGAACGGCAGCACAGUAAGAGCUUGCUCUUACGGGUGGCGAGUGGCGGACGGGUGAGGAAUACAUCGGAAUCUACUUUUUCGUGGGGGAUAACGUAGGGAAACUUACGCUAAUACCGCAUACGACCUACGGGUGAAAGCAGGGGAUCUUCGGACCUUGCGCGAUUGAAUGAGCCGAUGUCGGAUUAGCUAGUUGGCGGGGUAAAGGCCCACCAAGGCGACGAUCCGUAGCUGGUCUGAGAGGAUGAUCAGCCACACUGGAACUGAGACCCGGCCCAGACUCCUACGGGCGGCAGCAGUGGGGAAUAUUGGACAAUGGGCGCAAGCCUGAUCCAGCCAUACCGCGUGGGUGAAGAAGGCCUCCGGGUUGUAAAGCCCUUUUGUUGGGAAAGAAAAGCAGCAGGUUAAUACCCCGCUGUUCUGACGGUACCCAAAGAAUAAGCACCGGCUAACUUCGUG